UACGGAGGGUGCGAGCGUUAAUCGGAAUUACUGGGCGUAAAGGGUUCGUAGGUGGUUAGAUAAGUCAGAUGUGAAAGACCUGGGCUCAACCUGGGAGGUGCAUAUGAUACUGUUUAACUAGAGUUUACUAGAGGAUUGGGGAAUUUCCGGUGUAGCGGUGAAAUGCGUAGAGAUCGGAAGGAACAUCAAUGGCGAAGGCAACAAUCUGGGGUUAAACUGACACUGAGGGACGAAAGCGUGGGUAGCAAAC
rnacentral:rRNA from 1 species